AUGGCUCAGGGAGUCACGGUGGCUGCAGACUGGGAGACGCUGCCACUCCACCACAGGGACUUCAGCAUGGACUGGACGCAGUGCCCCAGACACGGCCUGACUCUGCAGAAGGCUCAGUCCGUGGUCGUUGGCUGCCUGAUCCGGGGCUUCUUCCCCCCGGGCCCACUGAGUGUGAGCUGGAACGUCAGCGGGGAGAACGUGAACUUCCCGCCUGCCCAGUCUGGCACUUCAAGCUCGUACAUCACAUGCAGCGAGCUGAUCCUACCAUUCACGCAGUGUCUCGGAGAAAAAAGCGCAGCCUGCAACGUGAAGUACAACUCAGUAACACAGAGUCUGCCCGUGCCCUACCCAGGCUGCUGCUACUGCGACUGCCCCAGCUCCAGCGCUAGAAACCUCAUCUCAAGCUGCCAGCCCAGCCUGUCCCUGCAGCGGCCAGACCUCGGGGACCUGCUCCUGGACUCAGACGCCAGCCUCACCUGCACCCUGAGCGGCCUGAAGGACCCCGAGGACGCCGUCUUCACCUGGGAGCCCACAAACGGGAACGAACCCGUCCAGCAGAGCGCCCAGCGAGACCUCAGCGGCUGCUACAGUGUGUCCAGCGUGCUGUCCGGCAAUGCGGAGCCCUGGAAAGCGAGGACAGAGUUCACCUGCACAGUCACCCACCCUGAGAUAGACAGUGGCUCCCUAACAGCCACCAUCAGCAGAGGUGUCGUCAUCCCGCCCAAGGUCCACCUGCUGCCGCCGCCAACCGAGGAGCUGGCCCUGAACGAACAGGUGACACUGACCUGCCUGGUGCAGGGCUUCAGCCCCAAGGACGUGCUGGUGUCCUGGAGACACCAGGGCCAGGAAGUCCCUGAAGACAGCUUCCUGGUGUGGAAGUCUCUGCCCAAGCAAGGCCAGGACGCAACCACCUACGCCGUCACCAGCCUGCUGCGCGUGUCGGCCGAGGCCUGGAACCAGGGGGACAGCUACUCCUGCGUGGUGGGCCAUGAGGGCCUGGCCGAGAACUUCACCCAGAAGACCAUCGACCGCCUGGCGGGUAAACCCACCCACGUCAACGUGUCUGUGGUCGUGGCAGACGUGGAAGGCGUGUGCUACUGA